GGGNGCAGGCUAACACAUGCAGUCGAGCGGUAGAGAGAAGCUUGCUUCUCUUGAGAGCGGCGGACGGGUGAGUAAUGCCUAGGAAUCUGCCUAGUGGUGGGGGAUAACGUUCGGAAACGGACGCUAAUACCGCAUACGUCCUACGGGAGAAAGCGGGGGAUCUUCGGACCUCGCGCCAUUAGAUGAGCCUAGGUCGGAUUAGCUAGUUGGUGAGGUAAUGGCUCACCAAGGCGACGAUCCGUAACUGGUCUGAGAGGAUGAUCAGUCACACUGGAACUGAGACACGGUCCAGACUCCUACGGGAGGCAGCAGUGGGGAAUAUUGGACAAUGGGCGAAAGCCUGAUCCAGCCAUGCCGCGUGUGUGAAGAAGGUCUUCGGAUUGUAAAGCACUUUAAGUUGGGAGGAAGGGCAGUAACCUAAUACGUUAUUGUUUUGACGUUACCGACAGAAUAAGCACCGGCUAACUUCGUGCCAGCAGCCGCGGUAAUACGAAGGGUGCAAGCGUUAAUCGGAAUUACUGGGCGUAAAGCGCGCGUAGGUGGUUCAGUAAGUUGGAAGUGAAAUCCCCGGGCUCAACCUGGGAACUGCUUUCAAAACUGCUGAGCUAGAGUACGGUAGAGGGUGGUGGAAUUUCCUGUGUAGCGGUGAAAUGCGUAGAUAUAGGAAGGAACACCAGUGGCGAAGGCGACCACCUGGACUGAUACUGACACUGAGGUGCGAAAGCGUGGGGAGCAAACAGGAUUAGAUACCCUGGUAGUCCACGCCGUAAACGAUGUCAACUAGCCGUUGGGAGUCUUGAACUCUUAGUGGCGCAGCUAACGCAUUAAGUUGACCGCCUGGGGAGUACGGCCGCAAGGUUAAAACUCAAAUGAAUUGACGGGGGCCCGCACAAGCGGUGGAGCAUGUGGUUUAAUUCGAGCACGCGAGACCUUACCUGGCNUGACA
rnacentral:rRNA from 1 species